UACGUAGGGCGCAAGCGUUGUCCGGAAUUAUUGGGCGUAAAGAGCUCGUAGGCGGUCUGUCGCGUCUGUUGUGAAAACUCGAGGCUCAACCUCGGGCUUGCAGUGGAUACGGGCAGACUAGAGGCAGGUAGGGGAGAAUGGAAUUCCCGGUGUAGCGGUGAAAUGCGCAGAUAUCGGGAGGAACACCGGUGGCGAAGGCGGUUCUCUGGGCCUG
rnacentral:rRNA from 1 species